GACGAACGCUGGCGGCGUGCUUAACACAUGCAAGUCUAACGGAAAGGCCCUGCUUUUGUGGGGUGCUCGAGUGGCGAACGGGUGAGUAACACGUGAGUAACCUGCCCUUGACUUUGGUAUAACUUCAGGAAACUGGGGCUAAUACCGGAUAUGAGCUCCUGCUGCAUGGUGGGGUUUGGAAAGUUUCGGCGGUUGGGGAUGGACUCGCGGCUUAUCAGCUUGUUGGUGGGGUAGUGGCUUACCAAGGCUUUGACGGGUAGCCGGCCUGAGAGGGUGACCGGCCACAUUGGGACUGAGAUACGGCCCAGACUCCUACGGGAGGCAGCAGUGGGGAAUAUUGCACAAUGGGCGGAAGCCUGAUGCAGCAACGCCGCGUGCGGGAUGACGGCCUUCGGGUUGUAAACCGCUUUCGCCUGUGACGAAGCGUGAGUGACGGUAAUGGGUAAAGAAGCACCGGCUAACUACGUG
rnacentral:rRNA from 1 species